rnacentral:rRNA from 1 species
AUUGAACGCUGGCGGAAUGCUUUACACAUGCAAGUCGAACGGUAGAGGGGGCAACCCCUUGAGAGUGGCGAACGGGUGAGUAAUAUAUCGGAACGUGCCCAGUCGUGGGGAUAACGUAGCGAAAGUUACGCUAAUACCGCAUACGAUCUAAGGAUGAAAGCGGGGGACUCGCAAGAGCCUCGCGCGAUUGGAGCGGCCGAUAUCAGAUUAGGUAGUUGGUGGGGUAAAGGCUCACCAAGCCAACGAUCUGUAGCUGGUCUGAGAGGACGACCAGCCACACUGGAACUGAGACACGGUCCAGACUCCUACGGGAGGCAGCAGUGGGGAAUUUUGGACAAUGGACGCAAGUCUGAUCCAGCCAUUCCGCGUGCAGGAUGAAGGCCCUCGGGUUGUAAACUGCUUUUGUACGGAACGAAAAGGUUUCUAUUAAUACUAGGAGCUCAUGACGGUACCGUAAGAAUAAGCACCGGCUAACUACGUGCCAGCAGCCGCGGUAAAGU